AACGAACGCUGGCGGCAUGCCUAACACAUGCAAGUCGAACGAUACCUUCGGGUCUAGUGGCGCACGGGUGCGUAACGCGUGGGAACCUGCCCUUAGGUUCGGAAUAACUCCCCGAAAGGGGUGCUAAUCCCGGAUAAUGUCUUCGGACCAAAGAUUUAUCGCCUUUGGAUGGGCCCGCGUUGGAUUAGCUAGUUGGUAGGGUAAAAGCCUACCAAGGCGACGAUCCAUAGCUGGUCUGAGAGGAUGAUCAGCCACACUGGGACUGAGACACGGCCCAGACUCCUACGGGAGGCAGCAGGGGGGAAUAUUGGACAAUGGGCGAAUGCCUGAUGCAGCAAUGCCGCGUGAGUGAUGAAGGCCUUAGGGUUGUAAAGCUCUUUUACCCGGGAGGAUAAUGACAGUACCGGGAGAAUAAGCGCCGGCUAACUCCGUG
rnacentral:rRNA from 1 species